UUCCCCGUUUCAAACAGCAAAAUGCGCUUACAUACUCAUUUAAAUUGAAUUCAUAAAGUGAAACCUAAAACAGCCAGUUUGUGGUUAAGUCUCCUCCCUACUUCUUGCCCUUACUGUAACUUCCUCAGGCCUUGCCUUUCUACUGCAUUUAUAUGUAGAUACAAAUAGUAUCUGUAUCUAUUUUCCUCAGGGCCUGAACUACCUGAAUGCAUAGUGGGCUACGAGUGCCUGAGAAUUAAAGGUUCUGGGAAUAGCCCACGACUGAUUGAAAGUUGUCAGCCUUUAUGAUGCCACAUAAGCAGAAUUCUGGUGUAGCGAGAGAGCAUGAGAGUUCAGCAAGUCUCAAAGUGAGUACAGAAGAGUAUUUGCAUCUAAAAAUGACAACAUAGAAACAAAGGGCCACCUCCCCUUCUGUUCUGCUGUUGGUGGUGAAGCCUGGAGCAAUCAGCUAAUGGCUCACAGCAUGAAGCAAGCAGCCUUAAUGUCCUCUCUUCCCUCCUCACACAUCCUAGAAGCAGUACUUCAAGAAGUGAUCAGCAUUGUGUCACAUUUCUAGUUUCACUAUUUCUGUUUUUCCAUGAGUAUUAAAUUUCAAAAAAAAGUACAUUUUCUUUUCCAAAGUUUGAAAUUAAAAGGAUUGCUUUGAGAUUAUAUUUAAUCUGAGUACACAUUUUUCUCAUACAAAGUGUCAAGUAUCAUGUAGGUCAAAGAGAAAAUAUUUGAUCAUCCAUUAGUAAUUUUUCUAGAAUGGUAGGCAUUAAGACUACAACUCACUUGUUGAUUUUUUUCCCUGCAAAUAAGAAGUAUAGGAUUUUUGUUUGUUUUUUGAUUCUCUCUGCUGCACUGAUAACACUGUAGGUUUGAAUAUAAAUGCCUGUAACCUUUGACUACUUUUACUUAAAAGUCUAUUCUUUAUUCUAAGAUUGGUAUUCAAAAUUACUGAAAAAAUUCCACUUGAUCUCUUAUAAGUACGUUAAAAAAUUCAUCAAAUUUCAUUACAGUAAAAUGUUAAACCAAAAAAUAUGGCAUAGACCUUUACGGAAUACAUUUGUAUUCAAUCUCAUUAUAUUUUCAAUCAUUCUACAUUCAAAAACAAGUUUCCCUUCU
rnacentral:lncRNA from 1 species